rnacentral:lncRNA from 1 species
CAAGUAUGCUUGACACCACAGGAACUACUGAUGCAAAAACAAAUUUGGCUUCCAAAACCACCCCUCCAACAUCCUCAACUUUAGCACCAGUGUCAACUACUGAUCUAGCAGCAACAACCAUGCCUGACACCACACAAACUACUGAUGCAACAACAACUUUGGCUUCCACAAUCACUCCUCCAGCAUCCUCAACUGUAGCACAAUCGUUGACAACUGAUGCAGCAACCACAACUAUUUCUGACAGAAAAACAACUAUUGAUGCAAUAACAAUUUUGGAUUCCACAACCAUGCCAUCAACAUUCUCAGCCGCCGCAUCAAUGUUGACAUCUGAUGCAGCAACCAAAACGAUGCCUGACACUACUACAGCUGCUGUUGCAACAACAUCUUUGAUUACCACACCGACCUUUUCAACAUACUCAACUGUGGCAACAAGGUCAACAACAUCUGAUGUAGCAACCACAAGUAUGUCUGACACAACAACACCUACUGAUACAAUAACAACUUUGGCUUCCACAACCACCCUUCCAACAUCCUCAACUAUAGCUCCAGCGUCAACUACUGAUGCAGCAACCACAACUGUGCCAGACACCACAACAACUAUUGAUGUAACAACUCUGGCUUCCACAAGCACCCCUCCAACAUUCUCAACUGUAGCACCAGCAUCAGUAACUGAUGCAGCAACAACAACUAUGCCUGACACCACAAAAACUACUGAUGCAAAAACAAUUUUGACUUCUACAACCAAGCCUCCAACAUCCUCAACUGAUGCAGUAAAAACAACUAUGCCUGGCACCACAAAACCUACUCAUGCAACAACAACUUUGGCUUCCACAACCACUCCUCCAGCAUCCUCAACUGUAGCACAAACGUUGACAACUAAUGCAGCAACAACAACUAUGCCUGACACCACAAAACCUACUGAUGCAAAAACAAUUUUGGCUUCAACAACCACCACUCCAACAUCCUCAACUGUAGCACAAACAUUGACAACUCAUGCAACAACCACAACUAUGUCUGACAGCACAACAACUAUCGAUGCAACAACAACUAUGGCUUCCACAACCACCCCUCCAACAUUCUCAACUGCAGUACCAACGUCAACAACUGUAACACCAGUUUCAACAACUGAUGCAGCAAUCACAACUAUGUCUGACACCACAACAACUAUUGAUGCAAUAACAAUUUUGGAUUCCACAACAAUAUCAUCAACAUUGUCAGCUGCAGCAAAGAUGUUGACAUCUGAUGCAGCAACCAAAAUGAUGCAUGACACCACCACAGCUGCUGAUGCAAUAACAUCUUUGGCUUCCACAACCAACCACCCAGCAUCCUCAACUGUAGCACCAACAUCAGCAACCACAACUGUGCCAGAGACUGCAACAACUAUUGAUGCAACAACAACUAUAGCUUCAACAACCAUCCUUCCAACAUCCUCAACUACAGUACCAACACCAACAACUGUAGCACCAGUGUCAACAACUGAUGAUGCAACAUCCAUUAUGCCUAACACCACAAAAACUACUGAUGCUACAACAACUUUGGCUCCUACAACCACUCCUCCAGAAUCCUUAGCAGUAGCAAAAACAUUGAAAACUGAUGCAGCAACCAUAACUAUGUCUGACAGCACAACAACUAUUGAUGCAACAACCAGUAUGGCUUCCACAACCACCCCUCCAACGUCAAUAACUCAUGCAACAACCACAACUAUGCCUGAUACCACAACAACUAUUUAUGCAACAACAACUUUGGCUUCCACAUCAACUCCUCCAGCAUCCUCAACUGUAGCACAAACGUUGACAACUGAUGUAACAAAAACAAAUAUGCCUGACACCACAAAAACUACUGAUGCAAAAACAAAUUUGGCUUCUACAACCAACCCUCCAACAUCCUCAAUUGUAGCACCAGCAUCAGCAACUAAUGCAGUAACAACAACUAUUCCUGACACCACAAAAACUACUGAUGCAACAACUUUGGCUUCUACAACCACUCCUCCAGAAUCCUCAACAGUGGCAAAAACAUUGACAACUGAUGCAGCAACCAUACCUAUGUCUGACAGAACAACAACUAUUGAUGCAACAACUAGUAUGGCUUCCACAGCCAACCCUCCAGCGUCAUCAACUCAUACAACAACCACAACUAUGCCUGACAAAAUAACAACUAUCGGUGCAUCAAAAACAACUAUGGCUGCCACAACCACCCCUCUGGCAUCCUCAUAUAUAGCACCUAUGUUGACAUCUGAUGCAGUGACCACAACAAUACAUGACAUUUCACCUAUAACUAUUGGUGGGAAAAUUACAACUUUGAUUCCGAAAAUAACAGAAAAUCAUCCAACAACUUCUGUUAUGUCACAAACCACAACAAUUCCAUCCACAACUAUUGGUGAGACAACUACAUUUUUGGCUCCCACAAUCACAACGCCUCCUCAAAAAGUAGUGGAGAAGUCAACAACAGCGCCAACCACUACAGUUUUUUCAAUAACUACACCUGAAACCACAAAAACACUCUCAACAUCUUCUACUAUUGUUGAGAUAACUACAAACCAUACUAAAACAACUACUGUAGGUAAAACCCCAACAACAAUUACAACUGUAGCUAUUGGCCAGGCAACUACACCUUUGGCUUCUGAAACCACACUGACAACAAAUCAUCCAACAGCCACUACACUGACAGAAACCGCAACACCACUUCCAGUAACAUUGACAACUACUGGUGAGACAGCUGCGACUGUCAUUUCCACAACAUUAAAUCAACCAACAAACACUAAUGUGGGGGAAACAACAACGAUUCUACCUGCAACUAUUGGUGAGGCAACUUUAAAUUUGGCUCCCACAAUCAUGAUGACAACACCAACCAGUAAAAUCCAUUUAACAAUUACAACUAAGCCUGAAACAACAACAGCACUUCCAACUACAGCUAUUGCUGUCACAACUAAACCUUUGGCUUCUGAAACAACAUUGACUACAAAUGAUGCAACAACCACUAUUGUAGCUGACACCACAACACUUCCAAGAGUUACUGGUGAGUCAACUUUGACUACUACAUCACUUUCAACUACAGGACCAACCAAUAGAACUGAUGCAACGACCACAACUAUGCCUUAUCUCACAACAUCUUUGGGUGCAACAACAAAAACUGUGGCUACCACAAGCACCCUUGCAAUGUCCUUAACUGUAGCACUAAUGUCGACAACUAAUGCAACAUCUAUGGCUGACAACACCACAAAUAUUGGUGCAACAACAACAACUCUGGCAACCACUAACACUCUUCCAACAUCCUCAGUUAUAGCACGAACCAUAAGUAUGCAUGACACCACAACUAUUGGUGCAACAACAACAAAUUUGGUUAACACAACCACCCCUCUAACAUCCUCAACUGUAGCACCAUCAUCAACAACUGAUACGGCAACCAUAGCUAUGACUGAAUCUACAACAGUACUUCCAAUAACAACUAUUGGUGCAACAACAACUUUGACUGCCAAAAGUACACCUCCAGCAUUUUUAUCUAUAGUACCAACAUCAAAAAUUGAUGCAGCAGCCACAACUAUGUCUGAAAUAACAACAGUGUUUCUAACAAAUGCUACUAUUGUUGAGACAACUAGAAAUUUGGUUUCCACAAAAACAAACAAUCCUACAACAAUUACUGUGGCUGAAACCACAACAUAUCUUCCAAAUACAGCUACUGGCAAGACAAUAAAAACUUUGGCCACAUCUCCAACAUCCUUAACUAUAGCACAAACCUUGACUGCCACAACCACCCCUUCAACAUCCUCAAAUAUAGCACCAAAAUCAACAACUGAUGCAGCAACCAAAACUUCACCUAAUACAACAACAGUACUUUCAAAAACAACUAUUAGUGCAACAGCAACAACUUUGGCUGCCAAAAGUACCCCUCCAACAUCCUCCUCUGUAGCACCAACAUUGACAACUGAUGUAGCAAUCACAACUAUGCCUGAAACAGAAACAGUACUUCCAAUAAAAACUUUUGGUGCAACAACAAAUUUGGUUACACUAUCUGUUCUAGCACCAACAACGACAUCUGAUGAAACAAACACAACUUUGCCUGAAACAGCAAUGGUAUUUUCAAAAACAACUAUUGUUGCAACAACAACUUUGACUACCACAAGUACCCCUCCAGCAUCCUCUUCUUUCGCACCAACUUUGACUACUGAUGCGGCAGUCACAACUAUUCCUGAAACUUCAGCUGACCUUCCCACAAGGACUAUUAGUGCAACAGCAACAACUUUGGUUAACACAAGCACCCCUGCAACAUCUUCAAUUGUUACACCAAUGUUGACAACUGAUGGAGCAACUACAACUAUUCCUGAAUCUAAAACAUCUAUUGGUGUAACAACAAUAACUUUGGCCAACACAAGCACCACUGCAAUAUCCUCAACUGUAGCACCAACAUUGACACCUGAUGCAGACACCACAUCUAUAGCUGACUCCAUAACAAAUAUUAGUGCAACAACUACAACUUUGUCUACCACAAGCUCCUCUCCAAUAUCCUCAGCUAUAGCACAAACAACUAAUGCAGCAACCACAACUAUAGCUGACACAACAACAUCCAUUGGUGCAAGAACAACAACUUUGGCUACACCUAGCACUCCUUCAACAUCCUCAGCUAUAGCACGAAACACAACUAUACCUGACACCACAACAACCAUUGGUGCAACAACAGCAAAUUUGGUUAACACAAGCACUCCUCCAACAUCCUCAACUGUAGCACAACUGUUGACAGCUGAUUCAGAAUCUACAACUAUGCCUGAAAUCAAUACAAGUAUUGGUGAAAAAGCUACAACUUUGACCCCCACAAGCACCACAACCCCUCCAACUUUGGUGGAGGAGUCAGUGACAACAUCAUCCACGAAUAUUCAUCCAACAAGCACAACAAUGUCUGAGAGGAAAAUUACUACCUUUGGUGCAUUAAAUGCAGAUAUAACUGAUUCAACAACCACACCUAAUUCUAAAAUCACAACAACUAGUAGAGAAACAAUUACAACCAGAAUGUCCUCCUCAACAUUGGUGGAAGAGCCAACGACAGCACAAUCACAAGCUACAUCUAAUUUAAAUACAACAACAUUUCCGGGGUUUACAACAACAGCUUUGACUAAUCCUCAGACAGAAAAUAAUCCUACAAUGCACUUCCCAACAUCUACAGCAGUCCUUGGCAAAACAAGCUUACCUCUAAUGAACAGAACUGGUUCAGCACUGGUUACAAGCAAACUACAGUUCAACUCCGCAUCUCCAGUCCCCAGAGAAACUCAGGUCCUCAGUGUUAUCAACACUCUUCUCAAAUCCAGAGAUUCACAGCCCAACAAAUCAGUUCAAGUGCUGAAUGUCACCUAUAAGAAUAUCUCAGAGACCUCCUAUGCAAUCAUUUUUACAUUUAACCUGAUUGACAUUAGUAUACCAGAGGACCCUGAGCUAAAGAACAACACCUAUCAGCACCUGCAGAAUGUUAUC